UACGAAGGGUGCAAGCGUUAAUCGGAAUUACUGGGCGUAAAGCGCGCGUAGGCGGCUACUCAAGUCAGAGGUGAAAGCCCGGGGCUCAACCCCGGAACUGCCUUUGAAACUAGGUAGCUAGAAUCUUGGAGAGGUCAGUGGAAUUCCGAGUGUAGAGGUGAAAUUCGUAGAUAUUCGGAAGAACACCAGUGGUGAAGGCGACUGACUGGACAAGUAUUGACGCUGAGGUGCGAAAGCGUGGGGAGCAAACAGGAUUAGAAACCCCCUGUAGU
rnacentral:rRNA from 1 species